rnacentral:lncRNA from 1 species
AACAGUACCGCGAGUACCAAUGGAUCGGCCUCAACGACCGCACCAUCGAGGGGGACUUCCAGUGGUCCGACGGCAGCCCCCUGCUCUAUGAGAACUGGCACCCGGGGCAGCCCGACAGCUACUUCCUCUCCGGUGAGAACUGCGUGGUCAUUGUGUGGCACGACGGGGGACAAUGGAGUGAUGUCCCCUGCAACUACCACCUCUCCUACACCUGCAAAAUGGGGCUGGUGCAGUGCGGACCCCCCCCCACCGUCAGCAACGCCCGCGCCUUCGGCACACCAAAGCAGCGCUACGAGAUCGGCUCCAUCACGCGCUAUCACUGCCGCCACGGCUUCGCCCCGCGCCGCUCCCCCAUCAUCCGCUGCCGUGAGGAUGGGAUUUGGGAACGGCCCCAGCUCUCCUGCCGCCCCGGUGAGCACGCAGCCCCCUGC